AGUGGUGUCUCUCACACUCUGGGUGUGUGUACACGCUGGCCGGACACAGUCACAACACCACCUCCUGUUUCUACCCUCAGAGUUGAGUGCGGGGGGUCAGUCACGGGUUUGUAUCGUGGGUUGUGGCCUCCGGGGUCGGGGUGGAUUUGGCCCUCAGUCUAGCUUUGUCCGAGAAUCAUCACCCCUCUGCUCAAAAUCCAUCUUCAGCGCCCUGAUGCCUGGAACUGUUUCAAGUUCACUGUCCCAGAUUUACCGGAGAGAGUGUGUCGCGUACAAAUAAUCGGUAGGAUUUCCGUUCGAAAGAUCCACGACACUAAACUUGUAUAUAUUCGACCAACGUCCGAUAUCACCAUCAUCCAGACCGACAAAACAACGUAUCGUCCAGCUCAAACAGUAAAAUUCCGGAUCCUGACCCUGGAUUCAUUCUUUCAUCCAGUGAAAAAGACGUAUUCACUCAUCGAACUGAAGAAUACCUACAGGACGGUACUAGCCCGCUGGCAGGGAGUGAACGGGGGGAGAGGGGGGAUAGUCUCCCUGGAGUUCCCCCUCUCAACGCGACCCGUCCAUGGGAAAUACGUGCUCAGUGUGGAGGAGACAAACGGGGGGAGACAGAGUCAACAUUCCUUCACUGUGCAGG